GAGUUUGAUCCUGGCUCAGAACGAACGCUGGCGGCAUGCCUAACACAUGCAAGUCGAACGAGACCUUCGGGUCUAGUGGCGCACGGGUGCGUAACGCGUGGGAAUCUACCCUUGGGUUCGGAAUAACAGUUAGAAAUGACUGCUAAUACCGGAUGAUGUCUUCGGACCAAAGAUUUAUCGCCCAGGGAUGAGCCCGCGUAGGAUUAGCUUGUUGGUGAGGUAAAAGCUCACCAAGGCGACGAUCCUUAGCUGGUCUGAGAGGAUGAUCAGCCACACUGGGACUGAGACACGGCCCAGACUCCUACGGGAGGCAGCAGUGGGGAAUAUUGGACAAUGGGCGAAAGCCUGAUCCAGCAAUGCCGCGUGAGUGAUGAAGGCCUUAGGGUUGUAAAGCUCUUUUGCCAGGGAUGAUAAUGACAGUACCUGGAGAAUAAGCUCCGGCUAACUCCGUGCCAGCAGCCGCAGUAAC
rnacentral:rRNA from 1 species